UGGGGAAUCUUCCGCAAUGGACGAAAGUCUGACGGAGCAACGCCGCGUGAGUGAAGAAGGUUUUCGGAUCGUAAAACUCUGUCUUUUGGGGCGAACGUGAGUAUGGUGAACAAUCAUAGUCAGUGACGGUACCAAAGGAGGAAGCCACGGCUAACUACGUGCCAGCAGCCGCGGUAAUACGUAGGUGGCAAGCGUUGUCCGGAAUUAUUGGGCGUAAAGAGCGCGUAGGCGGGAUAGUCAGUCUGUUGUAAAGUGCGGGGCUCAACCCCGUGAUGGCAAUGGAAACAGCUAUUCUUGAGUGCAGGAGAGGAAAGUGGAAUUCCCAGUGUAGCGGUGAAAUGCGUAGAUAUUGGGAGGAACACCAGUGGCGAAGGCGACUUUCUGGACUGUGUCUGACGCUGAGGCGCGAAAGCCAGGGGAGCGAACGGGAUUAGAUACCCCGGUAGUCCUGGCCGUAAACGAUGGGUACUAGGUGUGGGAGGUAUCGACCCCUUCCGUGCCGGAGUUAACGCAAUAAGUACCCCCGCCU
rnacentral:rRNA from 1 species